UACUAGCUUUCACAGAGACACCAUAGGCUGGACUUCAGGCAUUGGUCUACACGUUUCACUUGUAUAUUCUCCCUGUCCUAGCAGCAAAGUCUCACUAAGACUGCCUGCAAUCUGAGUCAUGUGUGUGCCACCCUGGAACCCAUGAAAAACAUUCUGCUGCCCCCAUCCCCACUAGCACUUCCUCUUCCAUUUCUGCUGCCCAGAAUGGAGGCUAGUCUGGAAAGGAAG
rnacentral:lncRNA from 1 species